rnacentral:rRNA from 1 species
UACAGAGGGUGCUAGCGUUGUUCGGAAUUAUUGGGCGUAAAGGGCGCGUAGGCGGCUUGGCAAGUGGAUGGUGAAAUCCCUCGGCUUAACCGAGGAACUGCCGUCCAAACUGCUUCGCUUGAGACCGGGAGAGGUGAGUGGAAUUCCCAGUGUAGCGGUGAAAUGCGUAGAUAUUGGGAGGAACACCAGUGGCGAAGGCGGCUCACUGGACCGGUACUGACGCUGAUGCGCGAAAGCGUGGGGAGCAAACGGG